GGCAGUUCUCGGGUGACACACCCCAGAAUUGGGCUCCCUCCUCUCUGGUUCCGGGUGUGUCACCCGAGAACUGCA
rfam:Myotis lucifugus cont2.3048, whole genome shotgun sequence.